UUUAUAAACAUUAUUGUUGUUUAUGAAUAAAAUGAUGUGGGCCUCAAUAUAAAUAUCUUCCUCUUCCACCAACAUGUUCAUCAACUAUUUUUUCUUGUUUCACUUCAUAUUGUUAUGAUGUUUCUUGACAUGAUUUAACUAUCUCACCACUAUAUUAUAAACAAUUGAAAGAGAAGCAAUGCUUCUAACAAGGGACUCAAAAGAAGAUGAAAGUAUCAAAAUUGUUGAAGGUUAAGUUCUACACUGCAAAACCUUCUAAAAUAAACACUUGUUAAACCUUAUUAUCACUACAGAACAAAACCCACUAAACCCAGCAUGACUUCACCAUGUUUCCACUAUUAUUUUGUUCAAAAACAAAUAGGGUUUCAACUUGGGUUAUGUAAUGACAUACUUGAAUCUAAAAAAAAAAAUCAUAUCAAAGUGAACUUAUCAAACAAAGUUACAAAAAACUUCCAACAAGUUGCUGGCACAUGGUGAUCAUAUCUUGGAUGAGAACAACAAAAUAUUCCUAGGUUGCAAAGUGAAGUUAAUAGAAAAAGUAAACUCCCAAAUAUUUAGUUCUGUUAUUUGAACAAAUAAAUCAGACACUUUUGCAAUAGCAAUUUAAGUUGUUAAGUUAGCACAUUUCAAUUAGAUGAUAUUACAUUAAAUAGAUUUUUAAUGAAUAUACCGGAUGUCAAAA